rnacentral:tRNA from 1 species
AAGGGAGACCUAAUUCAGGUAGGAGACGAAAAAAAGUAGUCCCUACCAAGAAUCAAUCCCAAAAGGUCGGAGCGAGGCAAAAUUGGCUUUCAAACUAGGUUCUGGGUUCACAUAAGACCUGAAUCAGGAACAAGGGCUAUUAGCUCAGGUGGUUAGAGCGCACCCCUGAUAAGGGUGAGGUCCCUGGUUCGAGUCCAGGAUGGCCCACCUGCACAGGUGGCAAAAACAAAGAAAAGAAGCUCCGAAUCAGCACCUUAUCUUACUCAUAUAGUAAGAGAGAAUGCUGGCUCUGUGUUCAGAGUCCAGAGGAACCUUGAAAACUGCAUAGAGCUAGGUGAAAAAGCCAAAAAAGAAGACCGCAA